AUUGAACGCUGGCGGAAUGCUUUACACAUGCAAGUUGAACGGCAGCACGGACUUCGGUCUGGUGGCGAGUGGCGAACGGGUGAGUAAUAUAUCGGAACGUGCCCAGUCGUGGGGGAUAACGUAGUGAAAAUUACGCUAAUACCGCAUACGAUCUAAGGAUGAAAGCGGGGGACCUUAGGGCCUCGCGCGAUUGGAGCGGCCGAUGUCAGAUUAGCUAGUUGGUGGGGUAAAGGCCCACCAAGGCGACGAUCUGUAGCUGGUCUGAGAGGACGACCAGCCACACUGGGACUGAGACACGGCCCAGACUCCUACGGGAGGCAGCAGUGGGGAAUUUUGGACAAUGGGCGCAAGCCUGAUCCAGCAAUGCCGCGUGCAGGAAGAAGGCCCUCGGGUUGUAAACUGCUUUUGUACAGAACGAAAAGGUCUCUAUUAAUACUAGGGGCUCAUGACGGUACUGUAAGAAUAAGCACCGGCUAACUACGUG
rnacentral:rRNA from 1 species